rnacentral:rRNA from 1 species
GGGUUGUGAGGUUAAGCGACUAAGCGUACACGGUGGAUGCCCUGGCAGUCAGAGGCGAUGAAGGACGUGCUAAUCUGCGAAAAGCGUCGGUAAGGUGAUAUGAACCGUUACAGCCGGCGAUGUCCGAAUGGGGAAACCCAGUGUGAUUCGUCACACUAUCGUUAACUGAAUACAUAGGUUAACGAGGCGAACCGGGGGAACUGAAACAUCUAAGUACCCCGAGGAAAAGAAAUCAACCGAGAUUCCCCCAGUAGCGGCGAGCGAACGGGGAGCAGCCCAGAGUCUGAAUCAGCUUGUGUGUUAGUGGAACGGUCUGGAAAGUCCGACGGUACAGGGUGAUAGUCCCGUACACCAAAAUGCACAGGCUGUGAACUCGAAGAGUAGGGCGGGACACGUGGUAUCCUGUCUGAAUAUGGGGGGACCAUCCUCCAAGGCUAAAUACUCCUGACUGACCGAUAGUGAACCAGUACCGUGAGGGAAAGGCGAAAAGAACCCCGGCGAGGGGAGUGAAAAAGAACCUGAAACCGUGUACGUACAAGCAGUGGGAGCACCUUUAUGGUGUGACUGCGUACCUUUUGUAUAAUGGGUCAGCGACUUAUAUUCUGUAGCAAGGUUAACCGUAUAGGGGAGCCGCAGGGAAACCGAGUCUUAACUGGGCGUUAAGUUGCAGGGUAUAGACCCGAAACCCGGUGAUCUAGCCAUGGGCAGGUUGAAGGUUGGGUAACACUAACUGGAGGACCGAACCGACUAAUGUUGAAAAAUUAGCGGAUGACUUGUGGCUGGGGGUGAAAGGCCAAUCAAACCGGGAGAUAGCUGGUUCUCCCCGAAAGCUAUUUAGGUAGCGCCUCGUGAAUUCAUCUUCGGGGGUAGAGCACUGUUUCGGCUAGGGGGUCAUCCCGACUUACCAACCCGAUGCAAACUACGAAUACCGAAGAAUGUUAUCACGGGAGACACACGGCGGGUGCUAACGUCCGUCGUGAAGAGGGAAACAACCCAGACCGCCAGCUAAGGUCCCAAAGUCACAGUUAAGUGGGAAACGAUGUGGGAAGGCACAGACAGCCAGGAUGUUGGCUUAGAAGCAGCCAUCAUUUAAAGAAAGCGUAAUAGCUCACUGGUCGAGUCGGCCUGCGCGGAAGAUGUAACGGGGCUAAACUGUGCACCGAAGCUGCGGCAGCGACACUAUGUGUUGUUGGGUAGGGGAGCGUUCUGUAAGCCUGCGAAGGUGGCCUGUGAGGGUUGCUGGAGGUAUCAGAAGUGCGAAUGCUGACAUAAGUAACGAUAAUGCGGGUGAAAAGCCCGCACGCCGGAAGACCAAGGGUUCCUGUCCAACGUUAAUCGGGGCAGGGUGAGUCGACCCCUAAGGCGAGGCCGAAAGGCGUAGUCGAUGGGAAACAGGUUAAUAUUCCUGUACUUGGUGUUACUGCGAAGGGGGGACGGAGAAGGCUAUGUUAGCCGGGCGACGGUUGUCCCGGUUUAAGCAUGUAGGCGGAGGUUCCAGGUAAAUCCGGUACCUUUUAACGCUGAGGUGUGAUGACGAGGCACUACGGUGCUGAAGUAACAAAUGCCCUGCUUCCAGGAAAAGCCUCUAAGCAUCAGGUAACAUUGAAUCGUACCCCAAACCGACACAGGUGGUCAGGUAGAGAAUACCAAGGCGCUUGAGAGAACUCGGGUGAAGGAACUAGGCAAAAUGGUGCCGUAACUUCGGGAGAAGGCACGCUGAUAUGUAGGUGAAGUCCCUGCGGAUGGAGCUGAAAUCAGUCGAAGAUACCAGCUGGCUGCAACUGUUUAUUAAAAACACAGCACUGUGCAAACACGAAAGUGGACGUAUACGGUGUGACGCCUGCCCGGUGCCGGAAGGUUAAUUGAUGGGGUUAUCCGUAAGGAGAAGCUCUUGAUCGAAGCCCCGGUAAACGGCGGCCGUAACUAUAACGGUCCUAAGGUAGCGAAAUUCCUUGUCGGGUAAGUUCCGACCUGCACGAAUGGCGUAAUGAUGGCCAGGCUGUCUCCACCCGAGACUCAGUGAAAUUGAACUCGCUGUGAAGAUGCAGUGUACCCGCGGCAAGACGGAAAGACCCCGUGAACCUUUACUAUAGCUUGACACUGAACAUUGAGCCUUGAUGUGUAGGAUAGGUGGGAGGCUUUGAAGCGUGGACGCCAGUCUGCGUGGAGCCAACCUUGAAAUACCACCCUUUAAUGUUUGAUGUUCUAACGUUGGCCCCUAAUCGGGGUUGCGGACAGUGUCUGGUGGGUAGUUUGACUGGGGCGGUCUCCUCCCAAAGAGUAACGGAGGAGCACGAAGGUUAGCUAAUCCUGGUCGGACAUCAGGAGGUUAGUGCAAUGGCAUAAGCUAGCUUGACUGCGAGCGUGACGGCGCGAGCAGGUGCGAAAGCAGGUCAUAGUGAUCCGGUGGUUCUGAAUGGAAGGGCCAUCGCUCAACGGAUAAAAGGUACUCCGGGGAUAACAGGCUGAUACCGCCCAAGAGUUCAUAUCGACGGCGGUGUUUGGCACCUCGAUGUCGGCUCAUCACAUCCUGGGGCUGAAGUAGGUCCCAAGGGUAUGGCUGUUCGCCAUUUAAAGUGGUACGCGAGCUGGGUUUAGAACGUCGUGAGACAGUUCGGUCCCUAUCUGCCGUGGGCGCUGGAGAAUUGAGGGGGGCUGCUCCUAGUACGAGAGGACCGGAGUGGACGCAUCACUGGUGUUCGGGUUGUCAUGCCAAUGGCAUUGCCCGGUAGCUAAAUGCGGAAGAGAUAAGUGCUGAAAGCAUCUAAGCACGAAACUUGCCCCGAGAUGAGUUCUCCCUGAGACUUUAAGUCUCCUGAAGGAACGUUAAAGACGAUGACGUUGAUAGGUCGGGUGUGUAAGCGUAGCGAUACGUUGAGCUAACCGAUACUAAUGAACCGUGAGGCUUAACCUUACAACGCCGAAGGUGUUU